GGGGCUGAUUCUGGAUUCGACGGGAUUUGCGAAACCCAAGGUGCAUGCCGAGGGGCGGUUGGCCUCGUAAAAAGCCGCAAAAAAAUAGUCGCAAACGACGAAAACUACGCUUUAGCAGCUUAAUAACCUGCUUAGAGCCCUCUCUCCCUAGCCUCCGCUCUUAGGACGGGGAGCAAGAGAGGUCAAACCCAAAAGAGAUCGCGUGGAUGCCCUGCCUGGGGUUGAAGCGUUAAAACUAAUCAGGCUAGUCUGGUAGUGGCGUGUCCGUCCGCAGGUGCCAGGCGAAUGUAAAGACUGACUAAGCAUGUAGUACCGAGGAUGUAGGAAUUUCGGACGCGGGUUCAACUCCCGCCAGCUCCACCA
rnacentral:tmRNA from 2 species